rnacentral:rRNA from 1 species
AGAGCGAACGCUGGCGGCAGGCCUAACACAUGCAAGUCGAGCGCCCGUAGCAAUACGGGAGCGGCAGACGGGAUAGUAACACGUGGGAACGCGCCCUUCGGUUCGGAAUAACUCAGGGAAACUUGAGCUAAUACCGGAUACGCCCUUACGGGGAAAGAUUUAUUGCCGAAGGAACGGCCCGCGUCCGAUUAGCUAGUUGGUGAGGUAAUGGCUCACCAAGGCGACGAUCGGUAGCUGGUCUGAGAGGAUGACCAGCAUCACUGGGACUGAGACACGGCCCAGACUCCUACGGGAGGCAGCAGUGGGGAAUAUGGACAAUGGGCGCAAGCCUGAUCCAGCCAUGCCGCGUGGAUGAUGAAGGCCUUAGGGGUUGUAAAGUCCUUUUAACGGGGAAGAUAAUGACGGUACCCGUAGAAUAAGCCCCGGCUAACUUCGUGCCAGCAGCCGC